rnacentral:ribozyme from 1 species
CUUUUAAUCUCUUUUUUUAACCUCUUUUUCAAUUUAUUAUAAAAGAAAAGAAAAGAAAAGAAAAGAAA